CUGAGAAAAACAUGGAUUCUUUAAAAGGAAGUGGCAAAGUACCCCUGAUUUUGAAACAUGUAUGGUCGUGAUAUCAAGAGUGACAACCUGGGCAAAAGAGAGCCAUUGCAAAGAAGAAAGGCCUUUAGGGAAAUGGAGCAGAAAGAGGAAGCAGUGUAUUAGAACUCUUUUCAUUGCAAGCGACAGAAAUCCAACUCAAACUUGCUGAAACCAGAAAACCUUUUAGAAACAGAA
rnacentral:lncRNA from 10 species